rnacentral:rRNA from 1 species
UGGCUGGGGGGCGGCCUACCAUGCAGUCGAGCGGUAGCACAGAGAAGCUUGCUUCUUGGGUGACGAGCGGCGGACGGGUGAGUAAUGCAUAGGAAUCUGCCCGAUAGUGGGGGAUAACCUGGGGAAACCCAGGCUAAUACCGCAUACGUCCUACGGGAGAAAGGGGGCUCCGGCUCCCGCUAUUGGAUGAGCCUAUGUCGGAUUAGCUAGUUGGUGAGGUAAAGGCUCACCAAGGCAACGAUCCGUAGCUGGUCUGAGAGGAUGAUCAGCCACAUCGGGACUGAGACACGGCCCGAACUCCUACGGGAGGCAGCAGUGGGGAAUAUUGGACAAUGGGCGCAAGCCUGAUCCAGCCAUGCCGCGUGUGUGAAGAAGGCCCUCGGGUUGUAAAGCACUUUCAGCGAGGAAGAACGCCUAGCGGUUAAUACCCGCUAGGAAAGACAUCACUCGCAGAAGAAGCACCGGCUAACUCCGUGCCAGCAGCCGCGGUAAUACGGAGGGUGCAAGCGUUAAUCGGAAUUACUGGGCGUAAAGCGCGCGUAGGUGGCUUGAUAAGCCGGUUGUGAAAGCCCCGGGCUCAACCUGGGAACGGCAUCCGGAACUGUCAAGCUAGAGUGCAGGAGAGGAAGGUAGAAUUCCCGGUGUAGCGGUGAAAUGCGUAGAGAUCGGGAGGAAUACCAGUGGCGAAGGCGGCCUUCUGGACUGACACUGACACUGAGGUGCGAAAGCGUGGGUAGCAAACAGGAUUAGAUCCUUGGGUAGUCA